CUCUCCUUAACCACAUUGAUUCUAAACGCGUUUUACAUCUCUGCCGUUUCAACCUUCAUUCGCGUUUACAUAUGCUGUCGUUUCAACCUUCAUUCGCGUUUAUAUCCUCUGCCAUUUCAACCUUCAAGAUCAUCUCUUCCGAUCUGUAUUAAUCGCAUUUCAUAGCCCUUCAAAUUCCUCUUUAAUCGCAUCUCUCUUCCCCUUUCGGUUCCCUUUUCUCUCAUCGCUCCCUCCCUCUCUUCCCCUUCAAUCGAAUCUCGCAUGGCCCCUUCCAAUUCCCCUUGAAUCGCAUCUAUCUUCCCCUCUCGGUUCCUGUUUCGAAUCUGUGUAACUGAGAUGUUUAUGGGUGGCAUAGAAUUGAUGAAUUCGACUCUGUGUAAAUCGCCCCUCCCGGCUUCUUUCCUCUCAACGCCACGACGGCGACACCGCAGGCCGAUUAUCUACAUCAGAUACAAUACCUGAUGUUUCGUAGAAACCCUAAAUCAGAUUCUGGCAGGUGCUCUACAUUAUAUCCUCCAUCAAGGGAGAUUUGUUCCUUCUUUUUUUUUUUCCUUGGCUUUGCAGUAUUAUUUUACUCCUGAU